rnacentral:lncRNA from 1 species
GAGAGAGAGAGAGAGAGAGAGUGUGAGGCUACUAUAUUUCUGAAAGCAUAGAGCCUUUGUGCUUCUAGAUCUUUUUUGAUGUUGCGAUUUUCGAAUUGUCGAUCGGUUCUGUUAAACUUGAUCUAGAGUAUUUGAAGUACUUAGAAAAUAAAUUUUAUGAUUUUUUGAUAUCAUUUGCCUAGUGAUCGAAGGGACUCAAAAUCAAUAAUUUUAAUGACCGUGGUGAGCCGUUUGCAAGUUUAACGGUGUAGAAAUAUCCAAAUCACGUAAAAUUUUGAUAGAAAAUUCUUUAUACUAUAUAAAACAAGAUCAAUAUCUUUGAUCUAAAAUUUUAAUGUCAUAUUAUCACGUUUUGUAAGAUUUUUAUUUCUGCCGUUGAUUUUGAGCCCCUUAGUUCACUAGGCAAAUGAUAUCGAAAAAUUGUAAAAUUUAUUUUCUAGAUACUUCAAAUACUCUAGAUCAAGUUUAACGGAGCCGAUCGACGAUUCGAAAGUCGCAACAUCAAAAACGACCUGGAAGCACGGAAGACUUCGUGCUUCCAGAAGCAUAGUAGUCUCACUCAUCUAUAUAUAUAUAUACAUAUAUUAAAACUCUUACAUAGAAUUCAACUAAAAUACUAUUAGUAGCAAAAAAAAAAAAUAUUUAUUAUCAAUCUUU